AGCUAAUUUUUGUAUUUUUACUGGAGACGGCAUUUCACCAUGUUGGUCAGGAUGGUCUUGAUCGCUUGACAUUGUGAUCUGCCUGCCUCGGCCUUCCAAAGUGUUGGGAUUACGGGCGUGAAUCACUGUACCCGGCCUCCUAAGUACCUUUUAAAUGCCAGACACUGUUGUGAUGCUGGGGAGUGAGCAGGGAACAAAAUAGAAAACUCCCUGCCAUCUAGGAGCCAGCAUCUUAGUUGGGGAGACAGUCAGCAAACAUAUAAAAAAAGUAAAAUAUGUAAUCUCUUAAACGGCAGUAACAGCUACAGAGAAAAAUGAACGCAGGAAGGGGGCAGGGAGUGGUGGGAGUGGGUGGAUGGGCAGGAAAGGUCUCACUAAGAACAGUUUAAGCAAAGACCUGGAUGAAGCCAGGCGAUGAGACCCGAGGUGUUUGGGGAAGAGCAUAGCAGGCAGAGAUACAGCAAGGGCAAAGGCCUUGAGGCCUGCCUUGGACAAGGAAAAAUAAAGAGGCCCGAGCAGAGUGUGCAAGGGGAGAAGCAGUAGGAGAUACAGGAGAUAGGGGGAUACAGCUGAGCAGUUUGGGCUCCAGAAAUUAAAAAAAAAAAAAGGAGCACUCCUUAGGAUAGGUGGGCUACCUAAAAAAUCUUUAUGUAGGUUUUUGUUAGGCCCUGGGCUCCCUCUGACUGAUGACCUGGGUGACUUGUACUGACAUCCCCUUCCUCCUCUUGUAGGACCAUAGAGCGGUCAGAGGAUGGGGCUGGAGGACAGACCCUGCAGGGCCAUCAUGAUGGCUUCAGCUUUGAUGCUAAGUGAAAUGGAAAACCUUCUGCCCUGCUGAGUGCCCGCUAUCUCCUCCCCACACCCCAAGUCAGGGGUGGAGCUCUCUGCCUUGACCCCCAGCUCAAUUACUGGGAUUCUCCUUCCCCUGAUCCCAGCAGACACAGAUUCUCAACUAGGCUACAGGCUUCCCCAAAACAAAACCCCUGCCUGUUUACACAUCACUGCAUGUCUGACUGGGGCUUGGUACCCAGUAGGGGCUUAGUAAAUACCCGGUGAAUGAAUGAGCAGUUAAGCAGAUCCUCAGAUCUCACAUUGGCCACCAGCUUUGUGACUCAGCUGCUCAAUCAAAGUCUAUGUCAGUUGGGUGCACAAAAUCAGUCCAUUAGUUAGUUGGAAUCAGCCAAAUAAUAAAGCAGUUGCUUGACUGAAUUUCUAAACUGGCCACAUGAAACCUGUGUGGUUACAGUCUCAGUCUCUAUGAGAACUUUGGGGCUGCAGCGUUACUGCACAGGUGUGUCCGCCCCACUGCUUUCUGGUAAUGAUGGAGGUUUUUCCCCCCAUUUAUUAGUGAUGAGGGGUUUUUUGGAAAUAAUUGUAUUUUUAGCAGCACAGUUAAUGAACUAGCUAAGCAUCAAUAGAUGAAAUCAUAAAACCAUUAAACACCAAGAGCAAUAAUGGGAAACUGCGUCUGGUGGUAAUGAAAUUAAGUGUCUUUAUGAGGUCACUUUAUUACUUUUCUCCUCGGCUCUCUUGCCCUCCCAAGUACGUGGUGACUGCUGCUCCUAAUUGCUGUUUCACUAAAAUGCACAAUGCUCUCCAUUUGGCGUUUUAAGUUCAGUGUAUUUCUAGGGCCUUCAGGAUCAUUAAACCCUCCACCAAGAGAGUGCAAUAGAAGUUGCAGUUAUGAAAGUUUCUGGAAGUGGCCCAGUAGUACAGAAGAAUGAGGAUAGCAGAAAGGGUUGAGAAGGAGCUAAGAAAGACCUGCUGGACUUUACUGAGCCCACACUGUUGAGUCACGUGGUCAAGGUUGAGCCUAUGCAACUUUGGCACAGCCUCCAAAGCCAGGGCAAAGUCACUCACAGAGGGACUGGGUGGCUAUGGUUUUACCUGUGCUUGAACCAUGCUUUUCAGCUUGGGAGCAAGCUCAUGUGCAUGAUUUCCUUUGACCCUGUGACAAUCCCAUAUGAUACGUUUUUAUUCUCACUUUUCAGAUGAGGAAACUGAGGCUCAUAGAAUCACCCAGGUCCCGCUGCUGUGUAGAGGGCAAAGCUGGUGUGCUUUCCCCAUGCCAGAGGUCUUAAGGGUCUGGAGCCAACUCACUUGCUAGUGAUUUAAACCUUGUGCAACCAAACUCAUGGCACCAUACUUAAUGCAAUAAUUCAAGAAAUAUUCAUUGAGUAUCUACUGUAGGCUAGGGAUACAAUGAGCAAAACAGAAUCCUUCUCUAUCCUCAGGGAACUUAGGAGUAGCUGGGGAGAGUUCCACCAGCAACAAUGUGCGGUGAGUUCGGUGAAUCAGAGAGAAAGCACCAUGUUACGGAAGCUGCUGGCAGGAGGCUCCGAUCAUAUCUAUGGGACAGAGAAGCCUUCCUGGAGGAAGCAAGGUUUGAGCUGAAACCUGAAGGAUAGAAGAUAAAUAGAUGAAGGAGGGGGAAGAGCGCACAGGCCAGGAGGAAGCCUGCACAAAGGCGUGGCUGACAUGUAAGAGAGAUUGGUGGCUGAGGAACUGGAUUGAUUUAGGAGGCAUCAUCAAUCGAUAAGGCUAAGGAACUGAUUCAGUUGUGGGGCUCAUGGAGAGACAGGAGUUGGGAAUCUGCACUCCCCACCCCAACCCCAGUUCCUGGCAUGGUCACCUGUAGGAUGGCAGUGCAUUUACUGAGACAGGGGGUGCUGUGGAGGAGCCUAACGGUGGAAGUGAGGUUGGGAGAAGAUAAUGAACGAUUAUCUUAUCUAUGGUGAUGAAAAUGAGCCCUAAAAGGCAGUUCAGCUGACCCAACUUUGUUAUGAUCUCAGGGUCGAGAACUGAAUUAAAACCCCAAUGUAGACAUGGUGUUAAUUAUUUCACUGAGGCCACCGAUUAAGGCUGUAAACACUGAGUUUGUUUCCACCCUACUGAGAAAUCGAAAGGACAGAGUGAAGCUUCAACAUGAUCGUCACCAACUGGAACAAUCAGGCUAAACAUGAUGAAAUGUAACAGGGAUAAAUUUAAAUUACACUCCUUAGGUUCGCAAAAUCAGUUGUUUCUGUAAAGGAUGAAAAACCUGACUUAACAGCAGCUCAUGUCAACAGAACCUAAUAGAGUCAGUUGGCUAUGAAUUCCACACAAGCUGACGUGGUGCUGUGGCUGCCCCUUUGUAAGGAACAUGGCUGUGCUGCAGCCAAGCAAGGAUAGGCCGAGGUAAACAUCCUGCGUGACUCAGCCAAUUUGUAGUGCAGGAGCAUAGCUCCACUUGUUGUAUAAUCACAGCCAUGUAGCCAUAAUAUGGGAAGGCUCAUCACUUGGCUCGGAGCCACUAUCGUCUGUAAAAGGUGUAAUUGCCCUGCUGACACUGUACAGGCAUGCUUGUGCCCAGAGAAAGCCAGAGAAAGCCAGAGCUGUCCGUUUUGUAAAUGGAUGAGGGGGAGCCAGGACACAGCUUGGCUCGCUUGUGCCCACAGGGCAAGAGUUAAGCUGUUUACCCUGAAGGGACUGCUGGUUGUGUAGCUGUAUGUGGGAGCUGCUGGAGCAAGCAGCCGAGACAGAGACAGACAGUGUAAGAGAGCUGCUGAAUAAAGUUACAUUUCACCUACUUAUGGCUCCCUAAGUGUUCCUCCUAUCCAUCUGCCAUUCAUCCACCAACUCCCUUCAGACCUCAGCAUGGGCUGGAACCUGACCUUAAACUUAACAACCUUCUUCUACUUCUAAUGCCCCCUUGAUGUACGAGAUAUUGGAGAGGAACCCAUGAAACUUCCUCUGAUGAGGAUAGAGAAGAACCUGUAAGAAAAGUGCAGCAGCCAAGGAGAGAGGCCAGCUCAGAGAGAUGUCUGUAGGGAAGUCAGGGCUGGCUUAUAGGCUCGAGUGUUGGGGAGCUGCAUGCCGUGUGAUUGGAGGGUGUUUCUAACAAAAUACCUGAAUAAAAAACAAACAAACAGAGGCAAGGGGCAUAAUUCUUAGCUAACCAGGGGGCCUCAGAGAGAGGGAUUUGUUACGGCUAGGAGAAGAAGGAAGGAUGCACCAAGGAAAUGAUAAAGGAUGAAGCAUUGCAGAAAAGCCAGUUGCUGUAUUAAUUCAUGUCAGUCAUGUGUUUGAGCUCUGAUUUUGUGUAUAGCCCUGUGCUGUGGGAAAUGCUAUGAAACAACAGCCACAGAAUCAACACCGGUGACUGGUAUGGCUCAGAUGACCAGUGCUAUUCAGAGGAUGGUGAGGGGUCACCAGGGAAGAAGCCAUGGAGGAGCUGAAGCUUGAGCAGGCCCCUGAUGGAAGGGGCUGGGGAAGAUGUCACUGCAGGGCAUGAGCUGGGCAAGGUGAAGAAAUCAGCUGACUGGAGUCUUCAGAAAUGGGGUGGAAUAGGUAAGGGAAAGCCCAGAUCUGGGCAUGGUUUGUGGGCCAGGGAGGAGCUGAGAUGGGUAGAAGGUGUGGAGGUGAGCUCUUCCCUGGGGAAUAUAGAGUUCAUGGAAGGGUGUCCUGGCUCCUGGCUGGUGAAGCUGAAUUGAAUGAUAACCCUGAACCUAUAACUUUCCUUUUGAUUGUUUUCUCUCAUCAUAGUGUGUGCCCUGUGUUGUUGACGACCCUUGUGUUAUGCUGAUAAUUCAUCACAGAGGUGAGUGCCCAGAGAACAGUGAGGAGGGAAGCCCAGAGGCAAGGUUUUGCGGGGAGAAACCCCAGUGCUUUCUUAUGAGAAACCAAAUGAAUGAGAUAGGGAUGAGCAGGUGAUAUCUAAAUUGUAUACAGUCCCCUUCUUCCUUCUUUUCUUCCUUUCUUUCUUCCCUGGUAUGGUUUGAAUGCAUCCCCCCAGAGUCAUAUGUUAGGUACUCCCCAAGGCAAGUGUUGUGAGGUGGGACCUAAUGGGAGGUGUUUAGGUCAUGAGGGCUCUACCCUCAUGAAUGGAUUAAUGCUGCCAUAUAAAGGGUUUCUGGGAGUGGGCUCUCUCUCUUGUCCUGCCUUCCAUCAUGUGAGGACACAACGUGCAAGGCACCAUCGUGGAAGAACAGAAUAUCUUCAUCAGACAUCAAACCUGCUGAUGCCUUGACCUCAGACUUCCCAGCCUUCAGAACUGUGAGCCAAUAGAUUUCUGUUUACAAAUUACUUAGCCUGUGGUAUUCUGUUAUAGCAGCACAAAAAGAAGCCCCCCCCCGACAUUCCUCACUCCCUCCAACCUUUAUUGAGCAAUUGCUGCAUAACUGUAUUGUGCUAAGGGAUGGAGAUACAAAGAUGACUAGAACACAGUUCCUGCUCCCUAAGAGUUCUCAGUCGAGACACACAAGUAAGUAACACAGCUCUUUGAUCUUAAAAUGUACUGUCAAUAUAAUAACAGAUUUUCAGAAGAAAAAAAGUCAGAAACACUACCACAGUCAAUGUCCACAUUAGCAAAAUAUUCUGGUUUCAGAAACACUCAAGUGUGAAAAAACAGGUUUUAAAAUUGAGCAGUAUGAACAGAGUAAUCAUUUUCAUAAUAGGAGUGGGCCCAUUGACCUAUCAGGACAUGAAAAUGUGGGGAAAAAUGUGUCUUGGAAUUGAUAGUUACAGCGGUGUGAUCAUUGUCACAACGGGUGGGAACAAAACACCACUGGAACCCACUGGAGGAAGCUCUUAAUGCCGUGUGGGAACACCAGACAAGGCUCCUGGCAGGAGAUAGUGUUGGAAGGCUGCCUUCUAGGCUAACAGUGAUGGUCAAGGGGAGGGUAAAGAGUCCAGAGGAGGUAGGGUUCCAGGCAGAGGGAGCAGCUUUUGCAGAGGAAGGAGACAGAGGCGGGUGUGAUUGAGAGCAGCUCUUUGUUGUCUUUGUUUGUGAUUGUUAUCAGCAGUGGAGCAGAGGGGGGCUUCAGUCUGAAGGGGCCUGGACCAGUCUCAUCACGAAGACAACAGGGAAGGAGACAUGAACACUGCAGGGCAAUUGAAUGAAACAUCUUCGCUGAACUUUCCCGUCUCUUGAAAAGUUUUUAUGUAUUCUUAUGUUUACAUAAGUCAUAAACCAAUUGCCUAAUGCAAAAAUGGUGUGUUCUUGAAUAGUAAGAAUAGGCAACAGAUUUCAAUCAAUAGACUCAGAAUUUUUCAUUAAAUCUGCUUGCUUAUUUCCUUAAACCUUUUCUCCAGGGCAAAUGUGCCCUUUAGAAGUGAUUGAUUGUGUUGCUCCCAUUGGUAUCCACACUCCUUAGGCUCUUUCUCUCUCUCUCUUUUCCUCUCUCUGCCUCUCUCUCUCAUCUUCCCAGUUGUUGUCAAGCAGCUGCCCUCAGCUGAAACAUCAGGCAGGCAUCAAGGAGUAUGUUUUUUGUUCAGAUGCGUGCACAUGUAAAGCUGUUUCUGAAUUGCAUCUUUGCAAAAUAACCUUUGGGGAUCGACAUGAUGAGGAUGCCAUUAGCAGGAAUUUCAUCUGCGUGGAUCCCAGGAAGGGGAGAAAGCUACCAUAGUGUGGAAAGAAAGCCUAAUAAAUAAACAGUCUGGAAUGUCCUUCCCAGGAAGGCCUGUUGAAAGAGAUGAACAGUACUGGAUUAAUUAAUUUUCCUGGGUGGUGCCACUUUGUGUUUCUGGGGCAAUACAUGGUCUCUUGGGGCCAAGAAGCACCCCUCUGGUUCUGGUCUCUUCUGCAUUUAUUCAAUAAAUAUCUCAACUCACCAUGUGUCCAGGGGAGAGAAUCUCCUGGCUGCUCCCUCUGCAGACCCUCUCUGAGUCCCGGGAGGGCCCCGAGUCAUCAGAGCACAGAGAAUCAGGGUGGGUCCAGGUUCUGAGGGAAACUGCACGGGGUGGGAAUCACGUCAGCCUCCUCCUGCUGCUACUGCCACUGGAGCCCCUUCACAGCAUGUUUCCUCUUCUGUGAAAUCAGCUUGUUUACUAUGGUUGACCCUUGAAUGACAUGGGUUUGAACUGCACAGGUCCACUUUUACACAGAUUUUGUUCAACAAACAUAUUGGGAUUUUUUUAGGGGAGGGAAAUGUACAACAAUUUGAAACAACUCACAGAUGAGCCAUGUGGCCUAGAAAUGUCAAAAAAAUUAAGAAAAGCUAUGUCACAAAUGCAUAAAAUAUGUGUAGAUACUAGUCUCUUUUAUCAUUUACUUCCAUAAAAUACCCCUAGACAGCAAGACCUCCUUUUCCUCCUCCUCUUCAGGCUACUCAACGUGAAGACUUGAGGAUGGAGACCUUUAUGAUGAUCCACUUCCACUUAAUAAAUAGUAAAUGUGUUUUCUUCUCCUAAUGAUUUUCUUAACAUUUUCUUUUUUCUAGCUUACUUUAUUGUAAGAAUACAGUAUAUGAUACAUAUGCCAUACAAAAUAUGUGUUGUUUAUAUUAUAAGUAAGGCAUCCAACCAAUUGUAGGCUAUCAGUUAAGUUUUAAGGGAGUUAAGUUUUCAGGGAGUCAAAAGUUAUAUGUGGAUUUUCAACUGCAUGGAGGCAAGGGGUUGGCACUCCUGGCCCUUGUGUUGGUCCAGGGUCAACUGCAGUUGAUCUCUAAGACUCUGUUUCAGUUCUGUGGCAGUGAAGAUACCCAUUGCUGAAUGUUUAGGCCAUGUGCCAGGCACUUUGCUAAGAGCUUUACAUAUAUGAUCUCAUUUAAUCUUCAUGGCAACUGUGUGAGGUUCAUGCUUUUAUUAUCCCAUUUUACAGAUGAGGAACUGAGGCUUAGAGAUGUUAUGAACUUAGCCCUGGGAAAUACAACUGGGAAGUGGCAGAACUGGAAUGAGUUCGUGUGUCUGAUUCUGUCGCCCACACCUUUAAUGCAUUAUCUUAGUGUGCUUGGGCUGCUAUAAUAAAACACCACAGGCUGGGUUACUUAAACAACAGACAUUUCUCACCGUUCUGGAGGUUGGGAGGUCCAAGAUCAAGGUCCCAGCAGAAUCUGAUGAGGCCUCUCCUCCUGGUUUGUAGAUGGGUGCCUUCUUGCUCUAUCUUUGCAUAAGGGGGAGUGAAGGUAGGGGAGCCAGUGGGAGAGAGAGAGAGUCUUUUACUCUUCUCAUAAGGAUACUAAUCUCAUGAUGGGAGCUCCACCCUCAGGACUUGUCUGAACCUUUUGUUUUCUAGAGGCUGCACCUCUUAAUGCCAACACAAAAGGGGGUUAGGACUUCAACAUAAGAAUUGUGGGAGGACACAGACAUUUAAUUCAUCAUAUGCAUUAUGCAAUAUUGCUUCCUUCCACGAUACAGAAAAAGUAUGGGUGGGGAACACUGGGUCACCGUUAGAAGCAGGGUAGGAGGCAUACACCUCCCUCCCUCUAGAGGGAGUAGUCAAGGGCAGGCUGCUGUGUCUGUGAGCAGGACACAGGGAACUGUGAAGAGGGCUUCUGUGCACUGCUUAUGAAGCCAGAUACACCUUGGGGACAAGCUACUCCCCAGGUGUAUCUAGGAUUGUUUGUGAAGAUCCAUCUGUUCAUUUCACAGAUAUGUUUUGAACACCUACAUUGUAUUAGGGUCUGUGAAUUCAAUGGUGAAACAAAAAGAUCGCAUUGAAUCCUCGGCAGGGCUUGAUGGAGGGCUGUGAGAGUAUUACUGAGGGGCCAGCCUCAGGCUGGCAGAGAAUGUGGUCGUUAAAGUUGUGUUUAAGGAAGUGAUUUCUGAACUGACCUCUAUAGGAUCUGAAUGCUUUAACCCGACACAGGAGGGAAAGGCAGGAGGAGGGCCAGUGUGGCUGGAGCUGGAGGAGGGUGUGGAGGGCCCGGUUCUCUAGGGUUUUGUCGGUAACUUAAGUAGUUUGCUAUUACACUUAGAACAAAGGUUUUCAUCAGGAUUUGAAUCAGGAAAGCAAUGUGAACAGAUCUGCACUAACACAAAGUCCCUCUGGCUGCUGUGUGGAAGAGGCUGUAGUGGGAGUUGGUGGGCUGAUGCCUUAGACCAAACAAGAGCUGGCAGUAGCUGGGCUAGAGUUGGCAGAGGAGAUGGAAAGAAUAGGAAGGAUCAGUGGGAUAUUUAGGAGGUAAAAUCAGCAAGACAUGGGGGGAUGGAUUGAAUUAAGGGUUGCAGGAGACAUAAUCUACAUAAACUGAGAUGGGCAAGCACAUUUGAUACCCUGGUUUAGGAACCUGUGCUUUAGCGGUAAUGCCCCUUCUUAAUGCUUCCCAAGCUGUCUAGCUAUAUCAGUCUGGAUGACUUCACCUGCAUGGUAAGAAAUCCCCCAACUCAAUGGUUAUAAACAAUCAGAAAUCAUCUCACAUAGCAGGAAGUCCAUGGGUGGUAGCACUUGCCCCAGUGGUAGAAUCAGCUCUGUGAUGUCACCAAGGACUCAGGCUCCCUCUCUCUCUUUCUGCUGAUUCCCACUGGGGCCAGCUUCCCUGGUGGUGGCAAGGUGACCUUGGCAUUUCUAGGUAUCAGACACCCAGUCACAACCACAUUCUUCUCAGGCUCAUCUGGCUACACAGAGUCAAGCUGUGUGCUCUGCCAGGAAAAUGGGAUGACUGUGAAGGCAUAGACUGAUAAGAAUUUCGCCAUGGAUUGCAAAUGGGGUCAUCUUCUCUGAAAAGUGGACAAAUGAACUAACCCAGGGUCCUGUUAGGGGAACUAGACAUGGGGGCUCAUUGGAUUUGUCAUGGUGCCCUGGACCAACACGUCUCAGAUUUUGAAUUUCUUAGAUCAAUAAACACAAUACAAAGAGUGGGUGGGGGAACUGACAUAGGAUUGCUGACUUUUCACUUUCACCUAGUAAAUAUUAAAAAAAAUACCAUCUGCUGUCUCUAUCAUUUCAUUAGAAGAACAUCUUAAAAGCAAAGAAGAAAGAAUCCUUGUGUUUCAUAAGUUUAGCAUUAUUAAACAUUUACUCUUUUUCAUUUCUUUUAUCUGAAAUUUGGGAACCAGUCUCUUGGGACCACUCUGAGCUAUAUAUGGCAGAAGUUCUUAACUUGAGUCUGUAGAUUGCCACCCUACUGCUAAGGGGUCUGUGGAAUAGGAGCCAGAGGCUCCAUGAACUUGGGUAGAGAAAAAUUAUAGCUUUUUUUUUUUUUUUACUAUCUUCUAUGUGAAAUGUAGCAUUUCCUUCAAUUACAAAUGUGGCAACAAACCAGUCAUAUUAGCUCUAACUGUGAUUUUGUCAUUAAUAGAAUCGCAAAUGUUUUCGUAUCACAUUACAGUUGUUGUAGAUAUCUGGAAAUGUCAUUAACACCCACGACUAUUUUGAAAUCACAGUAGCUCUCAGACUGGCUGCUAGACAGCAUGUGAGCUCAGAAUUCCCCACAGACUCUCCUGCUCUACAUCUGGCCACUUGUGGCAACUUGGUACCUCAACAGGGCAGUCAUCAAGCAGCAGAUCUGAGUGUUUUCCUGUAGGUGACCCAGACUUUCCAGCAUCCCUUAACUGAAUUGUUUGUGGAUGAAUUUGCAGAAGGAGUCGAAUCGUUUUAAUGGUUUGUGAAGUUUUGCAAUCUGAACUGUUCUAACUUGAAUUUUUAACUCUCCGUAGGCAGUGCCACCUUGGGUGGCACAGCUGAGUUGGGAUACGUCUGAUUGCUGAGUGAACUGUCGGAGUGUGAUAUUUAAAGCAACUUCUUGUGAUUGCUGACAGAUUGCACGGUGAUGCAGGUCGUGCACGGUGCGAUAAGCUCUGGGAGAAGCAGAAGUGUUCUCUAUUUUUUUUCUGGAUUUACUCUGUAUUUGUGCAAUGUCUGUGAUAUGAAGUGCAGUCUUACCUGCACACUAUGUUACUCACAUGUUGUUCUUGCACUAUUAUUUUGUGAAAAUAUCACAUACCUAAAAAAAAAAAACCUUUGUGAGAAACACUGACAAUAUCAGAAAUAAGAAUCAUUAUUUCUAAAAAGUCACAGGAAAUCACAUGCAGCACUAGCUAAAUUCCAGGUAGGAUAGGACUCGUGAUCAACUGUGGUAAUCCCACAUCUGUGCAGAGGUUAAAAGAUACUAACAGUACUGAAACCUUGGGUAAUCAUAAAACCUGUCUUAUUUUACUCACUGGUCAUAAAAUUUAACAAAUAUUUGACACUUUACUUAAUUAAUAUACAAAUGAUUGCCUCCUAUGUAGGUCUAUCAAACAAAUUACUUAGGAAUCAUAAAGAAAAUAUGAUGCUUCAAAGAAUGUUAGUGGCAUAAAACAUUUUAUUUUAGCUUUAUUUAUUAUUUAUUUUUUACAGACCCAAUUUAUCUUCAGGCUGGGAAAAGAAAAGGAAGGCCUGAUGAAAACUGUGUAUUUGGCUUUGUUUACAUUAAUGAAGUGACUGGACAGAAAAAGUCACAAUGACUUUUUUCUUUUGUGAAAAAAAUUAUUGGGAAUGGAAUUUUGAAGUCAGGAAGACUGAAAGAGGACCCACCGUUGUCUAUCUGGAAGAUGUAUCCAAAAUGCCCAGUUUUGUGUGCAUGUGUAUGAAGGAAGUUCAGUUAGAAAAAGCUUGCAGCUUGGGCAAUACAGCAAGACCUUGAUUCUAAAAUUUUUUUUUUUAAAAUUAGCUGGGUGUGUUGGUGUGGCACCUGUGGUCCCAGCUACUCAGGAGGCUGAGGUAGGAGGAUCCCUUGAGACUGGGAGGUCAAGGCUGCAGGGCGAAAUAAUAGCGUCACUGUACUCUACCUCAACUCUACCUCGGGGGGGAAAAAAAAGGAAAAGGAAAAGAAAAAGAAAAAAAAGUUCAGAUACUUCAAAAUGUGGAUUUGGCAUAAAAACCUUUUCUUGAAGCGUUCUUGAAAUUUCUUACCAGAUGCCAAACAGAAAAAGCCUCACAUUACUGGAGAAACUUUAUCUAAAGCCACAUACAGUGGGAAUAUGGAGUAGAUUUGUGAAUAGAAACAGAGGUAAAAACUGGAGGUGAUUAUUUAGUCAGAUGAGGUGCUUCUAUGAAGAAUAAUAGGCAUGUCUUGAAGCAAGUUAUGGAGGAAGUGGUCGCCUCGCCAUUACUCCCACAAGUCACUCUGUGAAACUACAGGUAUCCUUCCAGGUAACCACCUGUGUGUUUUGUGCAUGAUGCGCCUGCUGACUUCAACAAAGAAAGAUUUUGUUUUGUGAGUGUCUUCGGAAACUACAAAGGCUGCUGAUGUUUUGCAGAUGGUAUAAAGGUUUUUGUUCUGUUUUGCUUGUGUCAAACAAAAGUGACUCGACAGAAAAGGUUCAUUUCCUAGCACAGACAGUGCUGUCGCAAUGCGUGGCUGUGCGUGUGACUUCGCCACUUGAGUAAAACGGAGUACCUACGUUGUUCUCACUCACCGCAUUUCACACAAACAUAUUCUGGCUCUUCAGUAAGUCCCAAGAGAAGUUUUGUCAACAGCCAUAAAAGUCAUCAACUUUUAUCUAGUCUCUGAAUCACAGCAUUUUUGCAGGUUUUGUCAAGAAAUGAUGGCAAAAAAUGAAGUGCUUCUCUACCACAGAGAAGCUCACUAUCUUUUAAGGGGAAAGAUUCACUGUUUUCUAAAAGAAAAAGAAAAUCCACUCCUGGAACACGUAGCAAAAAAAAAAAAAAAAAUGUUUUCUGUGGGUUGGCUGACCCAGCGGAUAUUUUUAACCAUCUGAAUGAGAUGAAUCUUCCAGUUUGAGGCCCUGACACCACCAUUAUGAAUGAUCCUGAAAUCUUUACCAGUUUUUUUGGCUCAGUUGCCAAUACGAAAGGAGAGUUGAGGCUGACAUCUUUGCCAACUUUUGCGACGCUGGAGGAAGUGCUUUACCUCAAUGAAGUUGACAUACAAAAUACUGUCAGUUUAUUUGAAAAGAGAAAUCUACAAACACCUAGAAACACUGUAGAACUCCUUUAAAAAUUAUUUCUAUCUUGAUGGUGUCAAAGUUGGACCAUAGAAUCACAUUCUUUUUAUUGUUGAUACAAACUGUCUCAAAGGUGUUCGCCUAGCCAAAGAUGGCAAACAUCGAUCUUGGGACGGAAAACAGCUACAACUAGAGUUUAGCUAAAAAGUCUUGGAGAGUUUUGGUGCUCCUUGACAGAAACCUCUGUCUACUUUGCAAAGGAGCCAUAAAAGCUUUAAUUCCAUUUUCAACAAUAUACAUUUGAGGAUUGGAUUUUUAAUCGUUACUAUAAAAAAAUCAAAAUCAAUUGGCUGUCCAGCAUGACAAGUGUAUUAUCUCAUCAAAGACAUCCCGCUGUCUCAUGUUGUUAUUCAAGCUAGGCAAAAACAGCCUUUAUAUGGGCAACCAGGGUAUCCAGGUUCUCUCAUCAGAACUGACUAGGAGGCUGGCCUGAUCCACGGAAAGGAAGGAAGAGCAGCAUAGUGCGGUGGCCCACCUAAGAGCCAUAUGGGACAGGGGAGCCCUCAUCCCCCAGCCGAGGGAGGCGGUGAGUGAAUGUGCUACCCAGCCGAGGAAAUAGUGCUUUUUCCACGGAACUGUGCACCCCCCGGAUCGGAAGAUCCCACCUGUGAACCCACACCACUGGGGCCUAAUGUCCCAACCCUGGAGACAGGCAAAUUCUCAACAGCCUCUGAGCUGGAAUCUGCUUAAGCCUAUCGAGCUUGCAGCAGGGAAGGGUGACCAGCACCAUAGCUUUGGCUGCCUGCUGUCUGGGCCAUUUGAUCUCCUCGUGGGAGGGGCAGCAGCCAGCAUGGGGGCUCACAACUGCCCAACACGCUAAGCUCCCUGGGUGGGGGAAGGGCAGCAUUCAUCUCUAGCUCCGGGCUGUGGUUUUCCCCUGCCGGAGCCAGGGAGGCUGGAUGGCUUGGUCCCAAGACUUGUCCCUCACAGCCCAACACAUGGGCUGUGGCAGACUGUGGCCAGAGUACCUCUUCAGGCCUAACCCUGACUCAUCCUUCCUCACUGGAUGGGGCUUCGCUGCAGGAACUCCAAUAACUCCAGCCAGAGGCUCAGAGACAGAAUGCUAAUCUCCCUGGGCCUGAGCCCCCAGCGGGAGGGUUGGCCGCGUCUCUGUUAGCCUUUCCUCCUGGUAGUUCUGAGGAAUCUGGGCAGCCCAGACGAGAGGGUUUCCCCCCCAGCAGAGCACACCCCCUCCACCAAGGGACAAAGUGCUUUGUUAAGUGGGUCCUGUUCCCUGUACCACUCAACUGGGUGAGACCCUCCAGCAGGGGUUGUCAGACACCCUAUGCAGGAGCGAUCCUACUGGCAUUAGGUUGGUGCCCCUCGAGGUCAGAGAUCCCAGAAGGAGGAGCAGGCACCCAUCUUUGCUGCUCUCCAGCCUCCUUGAGUGACAUCUCCAGACACGGGAGCAAAUCAGAUGAAUAGGGCCUGUAGUGAACCCCCAGCAAACUGCAGCAGCCCUACAGAAGAGCGACCUGACCAUUGAAAGAAAAACAAACAGAAAGCAACAACAAUAGCAUCAACAGCAACAAAAAGCCCCCACAAAAACCCCAUCCAAGUGUCAGCAGCCUCAAAGAUCGAAACUGGAGAAACACAUGAAGAUGAGAAAGAAUCAAUUAAAAAAACACUGAAAACCGAAAAAGCCAGAGUAUCUCUUCUCCUCCAAGUGAUCGCAAUGUCUCUCCAGCAAGGGUGCAAAACUGGAUGGAAGAUGAGACGAACGAAUUGACAGAAGUAGGCUUCAGAAGAUGGGUAAUAAAAAAAUACACUGAGCUAAAGGAGCAUGUUCAAACCCAAUGCAAAAAAGCUAAGAACCUUGAUUAAAGGUUAGAGGAGCUGCUAACUAGAAUAACCAGUUUAGAGAGAAAUGUAGACCUGAAGGAGCUGAAAACCAUAGCACGAGAACUUCAUGAAGCAUACACAAGUAUCAAUAGCCGAAUUGACCAAGUGAAAGAAAGGGUAUCAGAGUUUGAAGACCAUUUUGCUGAAAUAAGGCAUGCAGACAAAACUAGAGAAAAAAGAAUGAAAGGAAUGAACAAAACCUCCAAGAAAUAUGGGACUUCGUAAAAAGACCAAAUGUAUGAUUGAUUUUAGUAACUGAAGGAAAUGGGGAGAAUGGAAACAAGCUGGAAAACACACUUCAGGAUACUAUCCAGGAGGACUUCCCUGACCUAGCAAGUCUGUUAAUAGCUGGAAGUUUUUUUUGCAGUUGCUGCCUUUCAAGUUGAGAAAAAUUGCUUCUAUUGCGGAAAAUUUUUAUUAUGAAAGAGGAAAUUUGGACACAAAAAGAAACACAAGGGGAGCUCACACAAGAGGAGAGACCACGUGAGGACACAACAAGAAGAUGGUCAUCUGCAAGCCUAGGAGAGAGACUUCAGAAGAAAUCAAAUCUCCUGACUCCUUUGUUUUGAACGCUAAGCCUCCCGAACUGUGAGAAAAUGCAUUUUUGUUGUUUAAGCCACCUACCCUGUGGUGUUUUGUUAUGGCAGCACUAGCAGACUCAUACACACUCCCCAAGCUAUAAUGAAUCCUCAGUUCUGGCCUGAGAGUGACAGGGAAGGUUUUGCUGCUCUCCUCUCACUGGCUGAAGACUUCUGUUUCUUUGAGGAGAGAGGGAAGAAGAACCCAGGCUGGCUGGGGCUUCCGGGGAGCUCAAGAUCAAAUCCGGAGGCAAAGAGACAGAAGAACUAAAAAUCAGAGUGACCGCCAAUGCAGCUAUGAAACAGGUGGCAACAGGUAUGAAAAGAAGCUUGAUGCAGGAAAGAGAAGUGGCUGGAAGCCACACAGUUUGGGGCUUGUACUUAGCCGUGUGCUUUGGAUAAUCACAUUGACUCUGAUUUAAUUUUUGUCAUCUGUCAAGUGGCAAUAAUAAAUCCUGCCUGACUUACUUCAGUUAAAUUCCAUUCUACAGCUAUUUAGUGAGUGCCUGCUAUAUUUUAGGCAUGGGAGGAUGCAGCAGUGCGCACAUUUGACGUGGCUCCUGCCUUCCAGCAGCUUGUAGUCUAGAGCAGAAGUUGGCAAACCAUGAUCCACAAGCCAAAUCUGGCCCAUGGCUUGGUUUUGUACAACCUGUUAGCUAAGAAUGGAUUUUACAGUUUUAAAGAGUUGGAAAAAAAAAAAACAACAAGAAUAUGCAAUAACAGAGCAUAUGGCCUAUAAAUCUAAGAUACUUAUCUGAUCCUUUACAGAAAAAUUUGCUGAUACCUGCUCUAGAGCUGUUCAAUACAGAAGCCACUGUCACGAUUAAGCACUUGAAAUGUGGCUCAUAAAUUGAGAUACGCUGUAAGUGUAAAAUGCAUAUUGGAUUUCAAAGAC